rnacentral:lncRNA from 1 species
CUCCAUAAAAGCUGCAGUUUUACAAUUUGUUCUUUCUUGAGUUCCACAGAUGCAUAGCUCCCUGAGUUGUUUGGCUGUUUACAUGCAUGUUUAUGGGCUAUUUUGUGCAACUAAAUAAAUUCAUUUAUGGUUGUCAGAUACUCAUGUCCUUUAUUAGCUUGAUGAGGUACACCUUAUGUAGGACUGAAUUAAAAAUAUUAC